rnacentral:tRNA from 2 species
CGCAGGGUGGAGCAGUUUGGUAGCUCGCCGGGUUUAUGCCCCGGAGGUCGCAGGCUCGAAUCCUGCCCCUGCAA